AACCGUCCAAACGUUAUUCGGAAUCACUGGGCUUACAGAGUUCGUAGGCGGUCUGGCAAGUUGGGUGUGAAAUCCUUCGGCCUAACCGAGGAACUGCGCUUGAAACUACCAGACUCGAGGGAGAUAGAGGAAAGCGGAACUGAUGGUGGAGCGGUGAAAUGCGUUGAUAUCAUCAGGAACACCGGUGGCGAAGGCGGCUUUCUGGGUCUUACCUGACGCUGAGGAACGAAAGC
rnacentral:rRNA from 1 species